GCCCCGAUGGUGGAAUUGGUAGACACGCAGGACUUAAAAUCCUGUGACCUCACGGUUGUACGGGUUCAAGUCCCGUUUGGGGUA
rnacentral:tRNA from 1 species